UUGGAGGGCAAGUCUGGUGCCAGCAGCCGCGGUAAUUCCAGCUCCAAUAGCGUAUAUUAAAGUUGUUGCAGUUAAAAAGCUUGUAGUUGAAUUUCGGGAUCAAUAUAUCGGUCGUGCCUUCGGUAUGUACUGGUAUUAUUGGUUUCUCCUUUCUGACAAACUAUGAUGUCAUUAAUUUGGUGUCAUGGGGAAUCAGGACUGUUACUUUGAAAAAAUUAGAGUGUUUAAAGCAGGCACACGCUUGAAUACAUUAGCAUGGAAUAAUGAAAUAGGACGUUUGACCCUAUUUUGUUGGUUUCUAGGAUCGACGUAAUGAUUAAUAGGGAUAGUUGGGGGCAUUAGUAUUCAAUUGUCAGAGGUGAAAUUCUUGGAUUUAUUGAAGACUAACUACUGCGAAAGCAUUUGCCAAGGAUGUUUUCAUUAAUCAAGAACGAAAGUUAGGGGAUCGAAGACGAUCAGAUACCGUCGUAGUCUUAACCAUAAACUAUGCCGACUAGGGAUCGGAUGAUGUUAAUUUUUUAAUGACUCAUUCGGCGCCUUACCGGGAAAC
rnacentral:rRNA from 1 species